UUUUUUUUUUUUUGGUAAUAUUUCCACCCCCACCUUCAAAAUGUGCUUCACUCCAAGAUGCCAAUGAUGGUGUGACCUUUCAAAGCCCAUGAUACUUAUGCCACCGCAUGCGACAACAAUACCAUCACAUGGAGGGCGGUCCUUGUGCUCCCAAAUAAUCCAGUAGUGAGGUGCAUCUCACAUCGCUUGCUACCAAGUUCCCACGACCUCUCGAUUUAUAUAAGGCGACAGGAGCUGAAGAUAAAAGCAAGCCUCCGUGUUGUCCAAACCGUAAAUAUUGUCCAUCUUCACUCCUGUAAUAUACGUGCUGCCUCCCAUUUUCUUUUAAUUAUCCCAUAUAUAAUGUGUAAAAUAAAGUUAGAUUAAGUCUAAUUAGAUGUGAUGAUUAGUAGGUGCAGUUUAGAUUAUUAUAAUGCAUAUGCCCUUUGCAUUAUGUGCACUUAAUGUAUUAAAAAUGAGAUUUUUAUCAAAAGAAUUACAAAAAUCUUAUAACAUUUUAGCAAAAUUUAAUAAACUAAUUAAUAUAAGUCAUCGUUACAUA